rnacentral:rRNA from 1 species
GAUGAACGCUGGCGGCGUGCCUAAUACAUGCAAGUCGAGCGAACAGACGAGGAGCUUACUCCUCUGACGUUAGCGGCGGACGGGUGAGUAACACGUGGAUAACCUACCUAUAAGACUGGGAUAACUUCGGGAAACCGGAGCUAAUACCGGAUAACAUGUUGAACCGCAUGGUUCAACAGUGAAAGACGGUCUUGCUGUCACUUAUAGAUGGAUCCGCGUCGCAUUAGCUAGUUGGUAAGGUAACGGCUUACCAAGGCAACGAUGCGUAGCCGACCUGAGAGGGUGAUCGGCCACACUGGAACUGAGACACGGUCCAGACUCCUACGGGAGGCAGCAGUAGGGAAUCUUCCGCAAUGGGCGAAAGCCUGACGGAGCAACGCCGCGUGAGUGAAGAAGGUCUUCGGAUCGUAAAACUCUGUUAUUAGGGAAGAACAAAUGUGUAAGUAACUAUGCACGUCUUGACGGUACCUAAUCAGAAAGCCACGGCUAACUACGUGCCAGCAGCCGCGGUAAUACGUAGGUGGCAAGCGUUAUCCGGAAUUAUUGGGCGUAAAGCGCGCGUAGGCGGUUUUUUAAGUCUGAUGUGAAAGCCCACGGCUCAACCGUGGAGGGUCAUUGGAAACUGGAAAACUUGAGUGCAGAAGAGGAAAGUGGAAUUCCAUGUGUAGCGGUGAAAUGCGCAGAGAUAUGGAGGAACACCAGUGGCGAAGGCGACUUUCUGGUCUGUAACUGACGCUGAUGUGCGAAAGCGUGGGGAUCAAACAGGAUUAGAUACCCUGGUAGUCCACGCCGUAAACGAUGAGUGCUAAGUGUUAGGGGGUUUCCGCCCCUUAGUGCUGCAGCUAACGCAUUAAGCACUCCGCCUGGGGAGUACGACCGCAAGGUUGAAACUCAAAGGAAUUGACGGGGACCCGCACAGGCGGUGGAGCAUGUGGUUUAAUUCGAAGCAACGCGAAGAACCUUACCAAAUCUUGACAUCCUCUGACCCCUCUAGAGAUAGAGUUUUCCCCUUCGGGGGACAGAGUGACAGGUGGUGCAUGGUUGUCGUCAGCUCGUGUCGUGAGAUGUUGGGUUAAGUCCCGCAACGAGCGCAACCCUUAAGCUUAGUUGCCAUCAUUAAGUUGGGCACUCUAAGUUGACUGCCGGUGACAAACCGGAGGAAGGUGGGGAUGACGUCAAAUCAUCAUGCCCCUUAUGAUUUGGGCUACACACGUGCUACAAUGGACAAUACAAAGGGUAGCGAAACCGCGAGGUCAAGCAAAUCCCAUAAAGUUGUUCUCAGUUCGGAUUGUAGUCUGCAACUCGACUACAUGAAGCUGGAAUCGCUAGUAAUCGUAGAUCAGCAUGCUACGGUGAAUACGUUCCCGGGUCU